rnacentral:lncRNA from 1 species
AGAAAUGAACCACUUGCGUGGUGCUGAGAUCAGGGUUUCUUGGUGCUGAGAAAUCCAUCAGCCAGUCCACAGAAACUUAGAAUUGUCAUUUCAGACCGCGUCUCUUAAGACAUUUGACACUCAAUGUGUCAUUUAAGAUAGCAGCCCUGCACUUACAGGUACAAAAUCACCAUCUUCUGAAUUAUGGUGGAACAAUCAAGACGGAUGAGAUCAAAGGAAAGAAAAAGGAAAAUCAUUUCUAGCUUUAUCCAAGACCUGGUGAUACCAGACCUUGUUCCAGACAUGGAAAGUCAGAGACACAAGGCCCCUGGCAGGGGUAGGCUGGGGUGGUGAACUGACACGCGCAUUCCAACAAUUUGGGCUCUCACUGCUUGAGCAAACCCUGGUGUGCAUUUGGCCUCAGGGCCUGGAAGACGACAGUUCAAGAAACCACAGGACUCCAGCAAUGAGCUGCUCCCCUUGCUGUGUGUGUGUGUGUGUGUGUGUGUGUGUGUGUGUGUAGGGUGAGGGAUGGCAAGUAGGAAAGGAAUUCCAGGAAGAAUAAAGUGCAUGUGCAAAGGCCCUGGGGCAGGAGGAGCCUUGGCUGCUGGAGGAAGCAUAAGAAAGCUGAGGUGUCGGCUGGGCACAGUGGCUCAUGCCUGUAAUCCCAGCAGUUUGGGGGGCUGAGACGGGUAGAUCAGGAGUUCGUGACCAGCCUGGCCAACAUGGCAAAA